rnacentral:rRNA from 1 species
AUACGUAGGGGGCGAGCGUUGUCCGGAAUGAUUGGGCGUAAAGGGCGCGUAGGCGGCGCGGUAAGUCUGGAGUGAAAGUCCUGUUUUUAAGAUGGGAAUUGCUUUGGAUACUGCCGCGCUUGAGUGCAGGAGAGGUUAUCGGAAUUCCCGGUGUAGCGGUGAAAUGCGUAGAGAUUGGGAGGAACACCAGUGGCGAAGGCGACUUACUGGACUGUAACUGACGCUGAGGCACGAAAGUGUGGGGAGCAAACAGGAUUAGAUACCCUGGUAGUCCACACUGUAAACGAUGAAUGCUAGGUGUAGGGGGUAUCGACCCCUUCUGUGCCGCAGUCAACACAAUAAGCAUUCCGCCUGGGGAGUACGGCCGCAAGGUUGAAACUCAAAUGAAUUGACGGGG